rnacentral:rRNA from 1 species
GAUGAACGCUGGCGGCGUGCCUAAUACAUGCGAGUCGAGCGAACGGACGAGAAGCUUGCUUCUCUGAUGUUAGCGGCGGACGGGUGAGUAACACGUGGAUAACCUACCUAUAAGACUGGGAUAACUUCGGGAAACCGGAGCUAAUACCGGAUAAUAUUUUGAACCGCAUGGUUCAAAAGUGAAAGACGGUCUUGCUGUCACUUAUAGAUGGAUCCGCGCUGCAUUAGCUAGUUGGUAAGGUAACGGCUUACCAAGGCAACGAUGCAUAGCCGACCUGAGGGGGUGAUCGGCCACACUGGAACUGAGACACGGUCCAGACUCCUACGGGAGGCAGCAGUAGGGAAUCUUCCGCAAUGGGCGAAAGCCUGACGGAGCAACGCCGCGUGAGUGAUGAAGGUCUUCGGAUCGUAAAACUCUGUUAUCAGGGAAGAACAUAUGUGUAAGUAACUGUGCACAUCUUGACGGUACCUAAUCAGAAAGCCACGGCUAACUACGUGCCAGCAGCCGCGGUAAUACGUAGGUGGCAAGCGUUAUCCGGAAUUAUUGGGCGUAAAGCGCGCGUAGGCGGUUUUUUAAGUCUGAUGUGAAAGCCCACGGCUCAACCGUGGAGGGUCAUUGGAAACUGGAAAACUUGAGUGCAGAAGAGGAAAGUGGAAUUCCAUGUGUAGCGGUGAAAUGCGCAGAGAUAUGGAGGAACACCAGUGGCGAAGGCGACUUUCUGGUCUGUAACUGACGCUGAUGUGCGAAAGCGUGGGGAUCAAACAGGAUUAGAUACCCUGGUAGUCCACGCCGUAAACGAUGAGUGCUAAGUGUUAGGGGGUUUCCGCCCCUUAGUGCUGCAGCUAACGCAUUAAGCACUCCGCCUGGGGAGUACGACCGCAAGGUUGAAACUCAAAGGAAUUGACGGGGACCCGCACAAGCGGUGGAGCAUGUGGUUUAAUUCGAAGCAACGCGAAGAACCUUACCAAAUCUUGACAUCCUUUGACAACUCUAGAGAUAGAGCUUUCCCCUUCGGGGGACAAAGUGACAGGUGGUGCAUGGUUGUCGUCAGCUCGUGUCGUGAGAUGUUGGGUUAAGUCCCGCAACGAGCGCAACCCUUAAGCUUAGUUGCCAUCCUUAAGUUGGGCACUCUAAGUUGACUGCCGGUGACAAACCGGAGGAAGGUGGGGAUGACGUCAAAUCAUCAUGCCCCUUAUGAUUUGGGCUACACACGUGCUACAAUGGACAAUACAAAGGGCAGCGAAACCGCGAGGUCAAGCAAAUCCCAUAAAGUUGUUCUCAGUUCGGAUUGUAGUCUGCAACUCGACUACAUGAAGCUGGAAUCGCUAGUAAUCGUAGAUCAGCAUGCUGCGGUGAAUACGUUCCCGGGUCU